CUGCCCACAUUCACAAGCCUCUAAAUUCCACAGUCGUUCACUAUAAGCCUGAUUGGCCUCCCAGGAGAACAGCGCCUUCCCAAAUAAAGCUCCUUUCCACUAGCUGCUGCACCUUCAGCUGUUGAUUCCCUCACCGGUCUCCCCUCUGCCUCAGGUCCGAGUCCUUAACUGGACCCUCUUCUAGCCUCUCCAAAAAUGCCUCUGAGCUGAGGCUGCUGGAUUCAUAAAAAUAAGCUACAAUAAAUACCUCACUAUGGUGAAUAUCUGUCUAGAAGAACUUCCCUUUAGCAAAAGAGAGCUUUCUUACUCUUUUGAGAUCACAAGGACUAGAGCAACCUCCUGAGGGAAACAGUUUGAAGUGACAUCAUUUGAGACAUUUAAAUUAUAGUGGAUAAAGUACUCAAACCCACCACGAAGAAACACUCUUUGUAGAACUCAUGGGAAAAUUACUGGGAUUUAUAAUAGGCCUUUUCUAUGAGGAGGGGAAAUGUUCUCUUCUCUGAAGUCUUUCAAGAACUCAUGUACUGAAAUUAACAUAUUAUAGUAGUAAAGAUAAAGUAAUGGCUGUCCCUGGAAUCCAUUCUCAGGAUCAACUGGGAAGGUAGUAGAGCUGGAUAAUUCCACUGAGAAUUGAC
rnacentral:lncRNA from 1 species